AUUGAACGCUGGCGGCGUGCCUAACACAUGCAAGUCGAGCGGUAACAGGUGUAGCAAUACAUGCUGACGAGCGGCGGACGGGUGAGCAAUAUUUGGGAAUCUGCCUAUUAGUGGGGGAUAACCCGGGGAAACUCGGGCUAAUACCGCAUACGCUCUACGGAGGAAAGCCGGGGACCGCAAGGCCUGGCGCUAGUAGAUGAGCCCAAAUCGGAUUAGCUAGUUGGUGAGGUAACGGCUCACCGAGGCGACGAUCCGUAGCUGGUUUGAGAGAACGACCAGCCACACCGGAACUGAGACACGGUCCGGACUCCUACGGGAGGCAGCAGUGGGGAAUAUUGGACAAUGGGCGAAAGCCUGAUCCAGCGACGCCGCGUGGGUGAAGAAGGCCUGCGGGUUGUAAAGCCCUUUCGGUUGGGAAGAAAAGUAUUGGCCUAAUACGCUAGUACCUUGACGUAACCAACAAAGAAGCACCGGCUAACUCUGUGCCAGCAGCCGCGGU
rnacentral:rRNA from 1 species